ensembl:lncRNA
CUAUAUGAUGAUGUAUUGUGUUAAUCUGAAGCAGUCUGCAUCACAGCUGUUUUAGAGCAUAUUGCUCAAGUCUCCCAUUUCUGAUUGUACCCUUGGAGACAGCCUAAAGGGGAAAAGCUUUGUGCCUGAGGAAAAAGGUUCUCAGCAUGUGUGCAGAUUUUCAAUUUGAGAAGACACAUCAUGUUGCCUUUUUAGAAUAAGAGUCUGGAAAAAGAUAAAAAAGUGAAAAUAUUUCUUUUUAUCAUUCUGAUAGAAAAUUAAAGAAUCAUAGAAUAUCUCAAGCUGUAAGGGACCCAGAAGGAUGAUCGAGUUCAACUUCUGCAUGCAACUGAGUGAAACAGAAAGAUGCAUCAAUUAAGGAAGCUCCAGGAUAGAGCAGUAAAGAGCAUUAAGCAGCCAAAGAAGGAAAUUGAUCUGCAUGUGGGGAUUUUCGAUGGAAGCAAUUAUUUCUUCAAGGGAAUCUUUGAUUUCUUCAAGACCAGGAACACGAAUGGAAAUGUUCUGUCUGUGGCCCAGCAUGAAGAGGACAAAAGUUGCAAACUAAGUAAGAAACAGCCACAGUCAUCUCAUAUUCAUCCGUCUAAAAAUCACCAUGCAGAGAGAAGGAGCUUGCAGAUGCUUAAGUAUUUUCCCUUCAUGGAAUUCCUUGGGAUAUUGCAGCAGACUGGCCUGCUGGAAUGCACACAUUUAGUGGGAAGAUUUUGCAAACCAAAGAGAUCUGAACUCUCUAAUCACUAAGAGUGGGUUGGUCAUUUCUAAUCAUGGCCAUUGGUAUCUUGGCCUUGCUCUAGGACUGGUCCACAGAACGGUUGGGCAAGAGGAAACUUCUGUCUGCCUGGAGCUUCCCGGUGCUCUCAGGAAGUGAAAGCUCUACCAGUCACUGAGAAAAGUCAGAUUCAACAGCACAGAUCAAAAUCAACCAUGCACAUCAGCAGUACAUAUUACUCACAUUAUAACAUCAAGCACAGGGCUAAGGCUCUGGCUCUAGGAUCAGACCCCAGAGUAUGUGGCCCCAUAUUUCUUUACUCUAACAGCAGGAUUUGCCAACUACUUUUGAGCAACUGGGAAGAGAAGAAAAAAAACACUCACACAACACAGAGAUGCAUUUGAACCAGAGUCAAACCUUUCAAAUUUCAAAGGUGAUAAGAACAGGCCAUGAGUGGUCUCUCACUUAUCUUGGUAGACACAAACCACAUGUUAACCUGGACUCUGAGCUGCUGUUCUGUUCUUUCUUCCAGCUCUGAACUAACAGCAAACAAUUGAAGGGAGACAAGAUUGAAAUAGCCUGUAGUCUUCUGUGAUGACGAAUUUCUGCUGUACCAUGAAAGCACUGUGGAAGAGAGCCCUGCCAUCUAUGUAAAUACACUUAAAGAGCAGAAGAUCUUCUGCACUCUCUUUGUAGAUGUGAACGUGCUGUGUGUGCAAGGCAGAAGGUUGUGACAUGUCAUAAACUUCUCUAAUUUCUGCGGUCUUUUUACAGUCAUGAAUAGCAGUCAAUCUCUCUAAGCAACCCAUUCUGGAUUCUGGUUUAAAACCACUACAUAUUUGAAGUUAGAAACAAGAGAUAUUUUAGUAUUCUACCUCUUUCAACAUGUACUUUCUGUCUUGAUUUAAGUCCAAGAACUUAGUAAUAUGGUAGGCAGAAACUCACCUGUCAGAGAAGUUUACUUUUUUGGACAAAUGUCAUGCUAGAAAUCAUGGGAUGAUUUCAGAUAUUUUCAUCAUUAAAAGAAAUGUUGGAGUAAACCAUGGACAUGUGGACAUGAACUGAUGUGAAGUGAAUAGAUUGCAGACAAAAUUCUUCUCUCAUCUGGAGUAGAUUCAUUUGCUUCAGUGAAACAAUUCUGGAUUUCCAGUGAUGUAAUUUGGAACAGCAUCUGGCUUCAGAUACAUAAGAAGAUCUCCUUGUAAUGGUUUAUAUCACUGACUACUUACUGCAUGAUUUUGCUAUGCUUUUCGUAGUUCUUAUUAGCUACACAUAAUCGUUAGUCUUAAAUCUUUCUCGUGUUUCAUACAAGGCCAAUAAAAGCCUUGCAGAACGAGGAAAAUGUACAUUUCCUUCAGAUCACCACUGUGUAGCAUCUUUCAAAACUUAGUUAAAAUCACAGUCAACAAUUAUCUUCUCUUUUUAGUUUGGAUAUUACUUUAUGGAAUACAGGUGAAGGAAAAGCCUCUCAGUUCUGUCUGUUCUUCACAUAAAGCAAGUCGGUGCAACAAGUCAGAGACAUUUACUUGGCGAACAGCCUUCAAUUAGUGGGAUUUUUCCCAUAAGGACUCUUCCUCUAUUUGAGUAAAUGUAUGUUGUGUUGACAGACAUCCAUUCUAGUCACCUUCGCAUAGUUUCAUUAUUAUUUUCUUUUAAACAAAUAAAUACAGUGCAGGACCUGCCUUCUCUCAAACCUGUGGCCAAAUUCUGCUUCCAAACAUGACACCCAUUCAUCAUCAUACAGAAUGUAAAGGAGAGGUGGACUGAAAGUUACUCUUCCUCUGUCACUGUGUGGAUGUUUUAGUACAUCAUUCUUUUCACUACAAGGCUUUCAAAGUCACACUCUGAACAUGAGAACUGCAGGCAAUCUUCACUGCCUUCAGAAUCUGUUUUAAAUGUUUUAAACUUUUUAAUGCAAGAAGGCUUAAUAAAACUACAAGACAAUAGUGAAUACAUAUGUAAAUACGCUAAAUACGAUGAAGAAAUCAGCAUUUGCUAUUAUCCCACACAUUCUACAGUUGCAUUCUGUUGUAUAUUACAAAGCUGUAGCAUCUGAUUUCUUAAUGGUUAAGGCUGUACUUUGCAAAUAUGUUCAGAAAUAUCCACGCAGAUGUUUCUGUUUAAUCUUAUUACACUUGCUUUUCCAGCUUGGAAAUUUAAUUCCAGGAUCAUAAUUAAUAAUACAUAAUUAAUAAUUUCAUUUAGUCCGAGUGAUUACAAGGACUGUUGUGGUAGCCAAAAGCAAUAUUUGUGUCAUUUGCCUUUCAUUGAACUUCUAAGGUAGUGACACUUGUUUUAAUAAAAGAUAAAUAUUACAGUUGAGUCUGUUUAUUUUUUCCAUUACAUCUGGAUUCUCUUUCUGGCUUUCCUUUAGGUAAAUUUUUUACAAAUCUUUUCUCAAAGAAAAUAUUAAUGAUAUACCAUUAUCUUUUUCUAAAAGGCAG